GGUCAAGCUACAAAGGGCGCAUGGUGAAUGCCUUGGCAUCAGGAGCCGAUGAAGGACGUGAUAAGCUGCGAUAAGCUUCGGGUAGGCGCACAUAGCCAGAGAUCCGAAGAUCUCCGAAUGAGGAAACUCACAUGGG
rnacentral:rRNA from 1 species